UACGGAGGGUGCAAGCGUUAUCCGGAAUGAUUGGGCGUAAAGCGUCCGCAGGUGGCUAUGUAAGUCUGCUGUCAAAGCGUCUGGCUCAACCAGAUAAAGGCAGUGGAAACUACAUAGCUAGAGUAAAGUAGGGGUAGAGGGAAUUCCUGGUGUAGCGGUGAAAUGCGUAGAGAUCAGGAAGAACACCGGUGGCGAAAGCGCUCUGCUGGACCUAAACUGACACUGAGGGACGAAAGCUAGGGGAGCGAAUGGG
rnacentral:rRNA from 1 species